GACGAACGCUGGCGGCGUGCUUAACACAUGCAAGUCGAGCGGUAAGGCCCUUUCGGGGUACACGAGCGGCGAACGGGUGAGUAACACGUGGGUGACCUGCCCUCAGCUCUGGGAUAAGCCUGGGAAACCGGGUCUAAUACUGGAUAUGACUCCAUGACGCAUGUUGUGGGGUGGAAAGCCUUGUGCGGCUGAGGAUGGGCCCGCGGCCUAUCAGCUUGUUGGUGGGGUGA
rnacentral:rRNA from 1 species